GGAUGAACGCUGGCGGCGUGCCUAAUACAUGCAAGUCGAGCGAACGGACGAGAAGCUUGCUUCUCUGAUGUUAGCGGCGGACGGGUGAGUAACACGUGGAUAACCUACCUAUAAGACUGGGAUAACUUCGGGAAACCGGAGCUAAUACCGGAUAAUAUUUUGAACCGCAUGGUUCAAAAGUGAAAGACGGUCUUGCUGUCACUUAUAGAUGGAUCCGCGCUGCAUUAGCUAGUUGGUAAGGUAACGGCUUACCAAGGCAACGAUGCAUAGCCGACCUGAGAGGGUGAUCGGCCACACUGGAACUGAGACACGGUCCAGACUCCUACGGGAGGCAGCAGUAGGGAAUCUUCCGCAAUGGGCGAAAGCCUGACGGAGCAACGCCGCGUGAGUGAUGAAGGUCUUCGGAUCGUAAAACUCUGUUAUUAGGGAAGAACAUAUGUGUAAGUAACUGUGCACAUCUUGACGGUACCUAAUCAGAAAGCCACGGCUAACUACGUGCCAGCAGCCGCGGUAAUACGUAGGUGGCAAGCGUUAUCCGGAAUUAUUGGGCGUAAAGCGCGCGUAGGCGGUUUUUUAAGUCUGAUGUGAAAGCCCACGGCUCAACUGUGGAGGGUCAUUGGAAACUGGAAAACUUGAGUGCAGAAGAGGAAAGUGGAAUUCCAUGUGUAGCGGUGAAAUGCGCAGAGAUAUGGAGGAACACCAGUGGCGAAGGCGACUUUCUGGUCUGUAACUGACGCUGAUGUGCGAAAGCGUGGGGAUCAAACAGGAUUAGAUACCCUGGUAGUCCACGCCGUAAACGAUGAGUGCUAAGUGUUAGGGGGUUUCCGCCCCUUAGUGCUGCAGCUAACGCAUUAAGCACUCCGCCUGGGGAGUACGACCGCAAGGUUGAAACUCAAAGGAAUUGACGGGGACCCGCACAAGCGGUGGAGCAUGUGGUUUAAUUCGAAGCAACGCGAAGAACCUUACCAAAUCUUGACAUCCUUUGACAACUCUAGAGAUAGAGCCUUCCCCUUCGGGGGACAAAGUGACAGGUGGUGCAUGGUUGUCGUCAGCUCGUGUCGUGAGAUGUUGGGUUAAGUCCCGCAACGAGCGCAACCCUUAAGCUUAGUUGCCAUCAUUAAGUUGGGCACUCUAAGUUGACUGCCGGUGACAAACCGGAGGAAGGUGGGGAUGACGUCAAAUCAUCAUGCCCCUUAUGAUUUGGGCUACACACGUGCUACAAUGGACAAUACAAAGGGCAGCGAAACCGCGAGGUCAAGCAAAUCCCAUAAAGUUGUUCUCAGUUCGGAUUGUAGUCUGCAACUCGACUACAUGAAGCUGGAAUCGCUAGUAAUCGUAGAUCAGCAUGCUACGGUGAAUACGUUCCCGGGUCU
rnacentral:rRNA from 1 species